UAGAGUAACAAGAAAUUUCACAGCUCCAAAGAGUGAACCUACCAUGGAUUAGUACCAGAGACAGAAAUACUUCCUCUAAAACCAUGAAGGAAGUCCCGGAAUCUAGCCCUUUACCACUGAACUGCUGUGGCUUGAUUGUGUGAAACUGAAUUUCAAGAUGCAAGAUACUGUUCAGAUAGUUCUGCAAUAUAUUCCUCAGAUCCAGCAGCUUUGGCAGGAGAGAGCCCAUGGGUGAUGGAAUAACCAGAUCUCUGCGUCCAUCUCAUGAAAAACAGACCCUUUCUUCUGGAUUCCACAGGAUUCUCCCAGCAGCCAGCCUUGUUUACAGAAGUCAGCAGGAAUAGUAACAGCUCUUCAUAAACGAGCCAUGGAGAAACCUUUUGGGAAGGCGCCUCACAGUGCUUUGUCAUCUGCUGACAAACUGGUGCCAGGACCAGAACUUCAUAAUAAAGUCUUCAGAGAAAAUUUUGCAGCAGAUCAAGGAAUCUCAAAGAGCAAAUUACCUGAGCCGUAAUGGAGGAGGCUGCUAUGCCGCUGAUUCUCUGCUCCCUUCCACACUGCAGAGCUGGAUUCAUGGCAGCCGGAGGUGCUGCUCUUCUGCAGAGCAGCAGCAAACUGGCAACCGUGUAUGUUAAAGAUCACAGGGGAUGCUGUGCCUUGCUGAAGCACGUUGCUUCCAGGGCUGAGGUGAUGUUUCUGCCACCACAGCAGACUUCCUGUUCUCAGGUAGGAGCCUCGGGGGACUGGCUUUUCUGCUUCCCUCCUUGGGAUGAGUGAAAAAGAGCUAAAUGGACAAAACCUUAUCAUGUUGUUGAAGAUCAGGACAAUAGGAGUUGAUACAGAACAGUAUCAUAAAUGGCUUUGCAUUUGGGGCACAAAAGCACCCAGCUCUCACAAAAUGCCUGCAGGUAGCUCUGCAGGUGGACCCAAAGCUGAACCCUCACGUGGGGUCUGCUGCCUCAUCACCGGGCUCAGCUGUGAGUGCAGGCCUCUCUCUGAGCCGCAUGCUUCCAGCAGCACAGAAGGGUGGCAGCCCUGGGCCCAGCCCUGCGUCUGAGCACAGCUUUGGUCAGAUGCUGGGAGCAAGGCUUAACUUUCCUGUGGUCUCUCCUGUUCAAACUGACAAACACAGCUGCCCUGUGGGUGUUUGGAAAUUACCCUGAGUGUACGUAUGUGUUAUAGGAGAACACCUGAAGCAGCGGAUGUCCUGGCAGACUGUCAGGCAGGGCACUCAGGUACCUUAGUGCUGCUUUGCUGCCUAACGCCAAAGGACUGGACUUUUACAGCAGCGUGCUUUGCACAACCAGAUAGGAAUAGUAGCAAUAUCCAGCACCGAUUCCAUCCCUCCCGCUCCUGGUCUGUUUCCAUACGUAGUGCUCAUGCAACGUGAUUUCUACAUUAAACGGGCUCUUAUGUGAAAGCGUUCUCAGCUUUCAAGUUUAGGUUUAAAAAUCCAGCAUGGAACGGAUGAAGUGAAAUGUUUGUUUUGGACCGCGCGUUGACAAAGGGGAGGAAACCCCUCGCUGUGGGAUGGCAGCCGCGGGUCAGAAGCGUGUAAGCAGCCGUUACCGCCAUCCAGAGGAGAGCAGCCAUCAGCCGUCAGAUUUCAUUUUGUUGUGCGUGGAAAGGAGAACCCAACCGGUUGGUCUGGUUCGUGCUGAGACAUCCCAGAGGAGAAAAACAACAUCCAAAAUGACAACCGGUUUCAUACGGCCUGUUUUUUAAACUUGAAGUCCAAACAAAAGCAAUCUUUUGGUAGAGAUCUGCGUUAGAAGCUGGCAGGAGCACUACUGAGAUGUAAGGAGGUGCGUGGGCCAGUACUCAAAAGAUUGGAUACAGUUUUCCACCACAUCUGUCCGAACAAAUCUGUGCAAACUUUGAGCAAGUUUGGCAAGAAGCAUCCUGGUUUUGUUUUUACAGCCCUAACAAGGAAAGGAAAAACUCCCUUGUGUAUUGGGUAUCCCUUGAAAUGGGUAAAAUGUGCUAAAAUGUGUUUAUGUGCUUUAAGACAAUCAUAAAUCAGGACAACUCUUUGAAGACAAUUUAAGGUAAUAAUUUCAUGACCGUUCCUGAAAUUUCUUAGUCCAUAUAGCUGCUGAAAUGGACAAGGGCCAACACUAACAGCCCGCGUUGGGUGCUGCCAGAUGAAAUCAUCACCCCUGCUAGCUCCCCUUAGCACAGCAUGUGCCUCACUGGCAGCCUUGGUCAGCAAACUGGUGACUCCUCCUGCCAGCUCUGAGGAUGACAGUGAAAUUAAAUUCUUCUGAAUGCAGCACUUAUUCAAGGCAGGAAAUCACUUUCUUUUGCACG